rnacentral:rRNA from 1 species
AGCGGCGAACGGGUGAGUAACACGUAGGUGAUCUGCCCAUCAGACGGGGACAACGAUUGGAAACGAUCGCUAAUACCGGAUAGGACGAAAGUUUAAAGGUGCUUCUGGCACCGCUGAUGGAUGAGCCUGCGGCGCAUUAGCUAGUUGGUAGGGUAAAGGCCUACCAAGGCGACGAUGCGUAGCCGACCUGAGAGGGUGAACGGCCACACUGGGACUGAGACACGGCCCAGACUCCUACGGGAGGCAGCAGUAGGGAAUCUUCGGCAAUGGGCGAAAGCCUGACCGAGCAACGCCGCGUGAAUGAUGAAGGCCUUCGGGUUGUAAAAUUCUGUUAUAAGGGAAGAACGACUUUAGUAGGAAAUGGCUAGAGUGUGACGGUACCUUAUGAGAAAGCCACGGCUAACUACGUGCCAGCAGCCGCGGUAAUACGUAGGUGGCGAGCGUUAUCCGGAAUUAUUGGGCGUAAAGAGCGCGCAGGUGGUUGAUUAAGUCUGAUGUGAAAGCCCACGGCUUAACCGUGGAGGGUCAUUGGAAACUGGUCGACUUGAGCGCAGAAGAGGGAAGUGGAAUUCCAUGUGUAGCGGUGAAAUGCGUAGAGAUAUGGAGGAACACCAGUGGCGAAGGCGGCUUCCUGGUCUGUAACUGACACUGAGGCGCGAAAGCGUGGGGAGCAAACAGGAUUAGAUACCCUGGUAGUCCACGCCGUAAACGAUGAGU